rnacentral:rRNA from 1 species
GAUGAACGCUGGCGGCGUGCCUAAUACAUGCAAGUCGAGCGAACAGAUGAGGAGCUUGCUCCUCUGACGUUAGCGGCGGACGGGUGAGUAACACGUGGAUAACCUACCUAUAAGACUGGGAUAACUUCGGGAAACCGGAGCUAAUACCGGAUAAUAUAUUGAACCGCAUGGUUCAAUAGUGAAAGACGGUUUUGCUGUCACUUAUAGAUGGAUCCGCGCCGCAUUAGCUAGUUGGUAAGGUAACGGCUUACCAAGGCAACGAUGCGUAGCCGACCUGAGAGGGUGAUCGGCCACACUGGAACUGAGACACGGUCCAGACUCCUACGGGAGGUAGCAGUGGGGAAUCUUCCGCAAUGGGCGAAAGCCUGACGGAGCAACGCCGCGUGAGUGAUGAAGGUCUUCGGAUCGUAAAACUCUGUUAUUAGGGAAGAACAAAUGUGUAAGUAACUAUGCACGUCUUGACGGUACCUAAUCAGAAAGCCACGGCUAACUACGUG